GAUGAACGCUGGCGGCGUGCCUAACACAUGCAAGUCGAGCGAACCCUUCGGGGUGAGCGGCGGACGGGUGAGUAACGCGUGGGUAACCUGCCCUAUACACACGGAUAACGUACCGAAAGGUACGCUAAUACGGGAUAAAGUUGUUGGAUGGCAUCUUCUAACAAUCAAAGCUCCGGCGGUAGUAGGAUGGACCCGCGUCUGAUUAGCUAGUUGGUGAGGUAAUGGCUCACCAAGGCGACGAUCAGUAGCCGACCUGAGAGGGUGAUCGGCCACACUGGAACUGAGACACGGUCCAGACUCCUACGGGAGGCAGCAGUGGGGAAUAUUGCACAAUGGGCGAAAGCCUGAUGCAGCAACGCCGCGUGAGCGAUGAAGGUCUUCGGAUCGUAAAGCUCUGUCCUCAAGGAAGAUAAUGACGGUACUUGAGGAGGAAGCCCCGGCUAACUACGUGCCAGCAGCCGCCGUAA
rnacentral:rRNA from 1 species